GAUGUUUGAUGUGUUUUGUGAACAGCUGCUAACUGUUUUUUAGUUUUAAGCUAAGUUUGU
rnacentral:tRNA from 1 species